rnacentral:rRNA from 1 species
UAGGGAAUCUUCCGCAAUGGACGCAAGUCUGACGGAGCAACGCCGCGUGAGUGAAGAAGGAUUUCGGUUCGUAAAACUCUGUUGUUAGAGAAGAACAGCGCAUAGAGUAACUGUUAUGAGUGUGACGGUAUCUAACCAGAAAGCCACGGCUAACUACGUGCCAGCAGCCGCGGUAAUACGUAGGUCCCGAGCGUUGUCCGGAUUUAUUGGGCGUAAAGCGAGCGCAGGCGGUUAGAUAAGUCUGAAGUUAAAGGCAGUGGCUCAACCAUUGUAGGCUUUGGAAACUGUUUAACUUGAGUGCAGAAGGGGAGAGUGGAAUUCCAUGUGUAGCGGUGAAAUGCGUAGAUAUAUGGAGGAACACCGGUGGCGAAAGCGGCUCUCUGGUCUGUAACUGACGCUGAGGCUCGAAAGCGUGGGUAGCAAACAGG